rnacentral:lncRNA from 1 species
GAGUAGCAACGGUUUUGUAAGUUCCCUAGCAACCUCAUUGAUUAGUUUUGCUGUAUGUUGCUCGGUACAUGACAAUUGAGUAUAUAUUGCCACUUGUCAGACAUCAUUGUCUACGCAGAACACAGAAUCAAACGAGUGCUUCAUUCUUCGUUUCGCUCGCAUUCUACCAGUGUUUCAUGCAUCCUCCUUAUACUUCAUUUUGUGUGGGCAU